rnacentral:rRNA from 1 species
AAUCAACGCUGGCGGCGUGCCUCAGACAUGCAAGUCGAACGCGAAAGUCCCCUUCGGGGGACAAGUAGAGUGGCGCACGGGUGAGUAACACGUGGGUAAUUUACCUUCGGGUGGGGAAUAACAGUCGGAAACGACUGCUAAUACCGCAUGAUGCAGCGGCACCACAUGGUGACAGUUGUUAAAGGCGGGGGAGUCGCAAGACCUCGCGCCUGAAGAGAAGCCCGCGGCAGAUUAGCUAGUUGGUAAGGUAAUGGCUUACCAAGGCAACGAUCUGUAGCCGGCCUGAGAGGGCGGUCGGCCACACUGACACUGAAUAACGGGUCA